ACCUACGGGGGGCAGCAGUGAGGAAUAUUGGUCAAUGGGCGAGAGCCUGAACCAGCCAAGUCGCGUGAGGGAAGACGGUCCUAUGGAUUGUAAACCUCUUUUGCCGGGGAGCAAAAAGCGGUACGUGUACCGCAUCGAGAGUACCCGGAGAAAAAGCAUCGGCUAACUCCGUGCCAGCAGCCGCGGUAAUACGGAGGAUCUAAGCGUUAUCCGGAUUUAUUGGGUUUAAAGGGUGCGUAGGCGGUUUUAUAAGUUAGAGGUGAAAUCUCGGGGCUCAACUCCGAAAUUGCCUCUAAUACUGUAGG
rnacentral:rRNA from 1 species